UACGUAGGUGGCAAGCGUUGUCCGGAUUUACUGGGCGUAAAGAGCGCGCAGGCGGUCGGAUAAGUCGAAUGUGAAAGCCCCCGGCUCAACUGGGGAGGGUCAUUCGAUACUGUUCGACUCGAAGGCAGGAGAGGGAUGUGGAAUUCCAGGUGUAGCGGUGAAAUGCGUAGAUAUCUGGAGGAACACCGGUGGCGAAGGCGGCAUCCUGGACCGGUAUUGACGCUGAGGCGCGAAAGCUAGGGGAGCAA
rnacentral:rRNA from 1 species